UUUAUUAUCCUGCUGCAACCUGCUACAGAAUCCAAAAUACUUUAAAAUUCACUCAUGGCUUGAAAGCCAGGCACAUCACAUUAGGUUAUGAUGUCUGCUGUUAAAAAGCCUAUGCAGAUAAAAUACAGCUUGCUUGCAAGAUGACUUUUCAGAAUGUAUUACCUCUUUAGGGUUGGCAUCGAUUGCAAAGGUCAGAGAAAGCCAUGGACAGCUGCUUUAAAUGCCACAGUAAUUGUGUGGUUAAUGCACUUAUAUUGUACCAGCGCUGAUUCUCAGCAGGAAUAAACUACCAUUGAAGCCUGUGGAACUAUACCAGUUUACAUCAGAAUGAGUUUCAGUUCUGUACCCACUUUGCACCUAAUAUUUAGACCAAGGAAUGGGACACUGCAAACAGUUGCUUUUUAAAACUAAAUUCCAUAAUAUUCCAACACAGAUACCUGUUUUUAGGGGGAGUCUCUCCAUGGCUCUGGUAAAAACUUGCUGGUGAUUAAAGCCAUCCUGAAUUUAAUCAGGCAAUGCAUAGUACCUGUGCAGCAAGUGGGAAGGCAAUAGAAGCACCCAACUUUCUGCAGAGAGAUCUGUUAGCAAACAAGCAUGAUUGGCACACUAGUUCCCUGCGAAUGUGAGGAAGCAAAAAAAAUCCCGAACUAGAAGCAGACAUCACUUUUCCUGCCAUUACUAGGUGCUGUCAAAGGCUAACUUGCUCUGCUUUGCCCUGCCUCUCUAUGGCUUUGGGUUAGAACUUUUCCGUUAGAAACCAAAUCCCACCACUGCCAAUGCAGUCACCUCUCCCUAAAGCACACUGGCACAAAGAGAUUAAAAGCCCCAACUGUGUUCAUUUUACUCCUUUACUCUGUUGAAGCACCUUGUUUAAGGGGAGCAGGAUUUACCUCUGAAUCUGCUUUUAGGUAAUAGCAAUUUCCCAUUCUCUGCUCCUACACUAAACCUCCCUCUCCCUCCCUCUUUCCCCCCUCACCCUGCACUGGCACACAGUUGAAAAAUCCUUCUGUCCUUCCUGUGAGCAUGUGUUUAUCUCUUUAUUUUUAAAUAUUAUGGCUUCCCAACAUCUGUCUCUGUGGGGUAUAAUCUUACUGAUGAAAUAUUUCAUGUUUUCCUUGAGCCCCUGUCAAUAUGUUUCCCUGUUAUCAGCUUAACAGAUGGAGACACAGAAGGAAUAACCUCAGCUUACCUGGGUGAUUUCUUUGAUCACUCAAAUGGUGGAUGGCAACAGAAGAGGGACCUAACACAGACAGAUGGAAGACAGUCACCUCUAGUUCUAGAUGAUGCAGAAUUAGAUCCCGCAUUGCUGGAACAACUCCUCCAGUGCAGCUGAGGAAACAAUUUGGGCCCUGGCAUUGCUGAGAGUGAGUGCAGCAACAGAGAGUGCAGCAACGGAGGCCACACCCACAACUACCACCAGGCAAGCAACAAGGCAACAGAGCAACUGGAGGAGAAGACGUCAGCAGGCCAUGGUCCAAGGAGAUAAGAAUAUAUCGAUGAGGUGAACCAGCGUCUCCAAUGGUGGUGCCACAAAGAAGGCUUUGGCUUCUAUGACCACAGUGCCCACUUCAAGGACAGAGGACCCCUGGGGAGAGACAGCAUCCACCUCACACAGAAAGAAGCUGAAAUACAUCUUCGGUGACAGCCAAGAGCCAAAUUAAGAGACCCAGAGCAUCAUUCAGCAAGAAACAAACAAGUACUGGAAUGAUGCCCAGCAGCAGCCUCUGGAGAGAGGUGGAGCACUGCACAGACUUUUCUGGGAUAAGUGGGCACCUCUUCCAACUAUGCUGGAAAGUUUUAGUUACUAUUGUGAAGCUGUCUAACAAACAUGGGGGAGGAUGUCGAUUAUUGUGACUAUAAGAUUCGUAGAUGAAUGAAUGGUCCAAUAUGAAUGGCCGCAGGGAAGACGUACACUGCUCUUCAAUUUUGACCAUGCUCCAAGAAAAGGUCAUUAAAAGCCACUGUCCUUCAGCACUGAUUAGCAUUCAUUGUGUCAGCACUGGGGUCCUUUGUGAAUACCUUUUUAGACUGUGCUGUUAUCAGAGCUUUUAGCCAACUUGGCCAUAGGGCUAAGAAUGUUGGCUACCAGCCUACUUAAAAAGCCUGUUUGAUUUUCUUCUAAAUCUGCCUCUCAAAGGAAACUCAAAGAAACAUCACUCAAAGUAAGUUUUUUGGAACAGGAACUGUUUUUUUAUCCUGUGUUUGUACAGCAUCUAAUAUAAUAAAAGACUUAUUCUGUCUGUCUGUCUGUUAGGGCUGUGCGAAACAGCACCAUUUCAAUUUGACUUCUGUUUCGCCAUUUCAAAAGGACAAUGUUUUGUUUUGCUGUUUUGAAGCACUAUUCCAUUUUCUUUCAUCUAAAUUGUUUCACUGUUUCAACGCAUUUCAACGUUUUGCCCAUAGGCUAUAGUGGGGAAUCAUGCAAAUGCCUAUAACUUUGUCAUUUCUUGCCUGAUUUGGAUGACAACUGCAGGGGUGGUAGCCCCUUCUGAAGGCAUGAAGCCUGCAAAAUUUCAAGGAGACAGGCAUGGGGGUUUCUGGGAAACUGCACCUCAAACUGUUCAAAGUAAAACUCCUAUCACUUGCCGGUGGCAGCAGCCUGCUGUCAUGCUGCACGCAGACUUGUGGGCCCGUACGCCCCAAGAGUUCUGUGCCAGACUCCUCCUGGGGGGUGCAGGCCCAUGAAUCUAUGUGCAGGAUGACAACAGGCUGCUGCUGCCAGUUGAGGCCAGCACCAGCACUGGGUUCUUCCCAGUGGUCGGCACGGGCUGCGCCAGGCAGACUCAGGUGCUGGCGCUGGCCCCGGCCCCAGCUGGCAGCAGCAGCCUGCUGUCAUCCCGCACGCAGAUCUGGCGGCCUGCGCCCCUCAGGAGGGCUGUGGGGCUGUUAAAGAUAGGCCAAAAUUAGAACUUCUAACCCAAACACCAUCAAAUUGUUUCUAUGUUCAAGUUAACUCCUAAGAUCUGAACUGGCCUCACUAUUUUUUCACUUUCUUGAAUUGUAUGCAAAGCUGGAAAGAGGUACAGAAUGGACACAAUGAGAUUUCUGUUUAGGAACAGUUAGGUAAGAGUUCUCAAACUCUCCUGUUAAUUUUGGCUUGAAUCUAAGCCUCUUCUAGAUAUUGAGAUAAUGUUCAACUAAGCAUCCAGAUUCUGAAGUACCUUCCAUGAUGAAACUUUUGAGGUUUCCCCAGAGAAAGUUCUCUUGAUUAUGUGGUCUGUAAUUCUCACAUUCAGUGUGGGAUGGAAACACCUGAGAGUCUUGCAAAGUAAUCCUUAGGACACACAUUAACUUGCCAACUUUUGUUCUCUUUUCUUAGGAAGCUAUGUCUUUGUAAUCUCCGAUUUCCCUCAUAUGUAGAUGUUAACAAUAAAUAUUUGCUAAAUUGUUUGAACCAAAAAAAAUUCCACCAUGCAGCUUGCUUACACACUUCAACUAUUCAGUUUUCUUCUUAUGACAAGUGAGCAUGGACAGAUCUAGGAUUUUGAAAAGGGGGUACAGAUUGUGUGAUGCAUUAUUAUAUAUAACACAAUACAUGUUCUUAUCAAAUUAAAAAAAUACUAGAAACUUUACUAAUAAGCUAGAGGUUAUAUGGCUAUAUUAUAAGGUUUAAGAUAUGAGCAAAAACAAAUAUAAAUUUAUUGGAAUGUACAUUCAUUUGCUAUAUUAUGCCUAAAAAUACACAACAAACUAGGCAAUAAUAAUAAAAAAUGUUGUUUCAU